GACGAACGCUGGCGGCGUGCUUAACACAUGCAAGUCGAACGGAAAGGCCCUGCUUUUGUGGGGUGCUCGAGUGGCGAACGGGUGAGUAACACGUGAGUAACCUGCCCUUGACUUUGGGAUAACUUCAGGAAACUGGGGCUAAUACCGGAUAGGAGCUCCUGCUGCAUGGUGGGGGUUGGAAAGUUUCGGCGGUUGGGGAUGGACUCGCGGCUUAUCAGCUUGUUGGUGGGGUAGUGGCUUACCAAGGCUUUGACGGGUAGCCGGCCUGGGAGGGUGACCGGCCACGUUGGGACGGAGCUACGGCCCAGACUCCUACGGGAGGCAGCAGUGGGGAAUAUUGCACAAUGGGCGGAAGCCUGAUGCAGCAACGCCGCGUGCGGGAUGACGGCCUGCGGGUUGUAAACCGCUUUCGCCUGUGACGAAGCGUGAGUGACGGUAAUGGGUAAAGAAGCACCGGCUAACUACGUG
rnacentral:rRNA from 1 species